UCCGUGAGCGGCUACGUCAUCAGGGCCGGCAUACAACAACACACAUGCUGAUUGGCAUGCGAACAGGUCGCUCUGCCUACAUACAGUUACAUAUGUAGUACAUACUCACAUGUUCAUGCAGAGAGAGAAAGGAAGAAAGUCUGCAAAUAAAAUUUUUUGCGGUGCAGCUUUGCAUAUUUGAAUACUCUCCUCGGCGUCACCUAUUACAUUUCAUGUUGAUUCCAUUUCUGGUUUUGGCUUUCGCACUGCCCCGUGUGCUUUUGCUCAUUACACACACACACGCACACACACGGUGGGGAAUGUAGAUAGACGGCUUUCAUGGGGUAACAUUAACCGUCCCGCGCCCCGACCCACCCCCCGUCAACACAACAACCCAUAACUACACAGUGCCGUCGCAGCGACAACAACAACAGCAACACCAACAACAGCAACAACACCAACAACAGCAACAUGCGAGCAUUGCACACCACACACACGCUUCUCUGCUCUUUCGGCCUGCUAAUCGUUCCUGCUCGCCUGCUGGCUGCUUAUGUUUAUUUGUAUAUAUCGAGCAACACAAACGCACAAAGCUCAUAUGCAAAACCGCCCGGCACAUACAACUCUACCGUGCCACCCGUAUACCCAAAG